CUAGUUUUGGGUGGUCAUUUAAAUUGUAUGUACCGGAUACAGGGGUUUUCUACCUGGACGUUAUUGUACACAAACGUGAUUGGGUCUAUUGGAACCAUUAAAUAAAUAUUCUGUGUAUUUAAUACAGACAUUACAUGUUUGUGCUAAGCUAGGCUAAACAAGUUUCCUAACGUUAAGCCUAGCUUAGCACCAAGACUAGGCAGGGGGAGAUUGGCCUCCAUCAAAAAAAGCAGGAAGCAACACCAAAAGUUUCUUUACAUGUUGAAUCUUAGUAGCUAGCAAACUACUCACCAGUGUAUUAAAGAGUCACCUGGGUUUAGGUCAGUGUUGUGAAAGUCUAAGAAGCCGACAACUUCACCAUGAGACAGGACUUUGGAUAAUUAUAGGCCUACUAGCUUGCAUAGUAAUUCAGCUAGCUUCUUCGUAUUUAAGCUUAAAUUA